rnacentral:rRNA from 1 species
AUUGAACGCUGGCGGCAUGCUUUACACAUGCAAGUCGAGCGGUAACAGGCCUUCGGGUGCUGACGAGUGGCGAACGGGUGAGUAAUGCAUCGGAACGUACCCAGAGGUGGGGGAUAACGCAGCGAAAGCUGUGCUAAUACCGCAUGUGAUCUGAGGAUGAAAGCGGGGGACCGAGCAGCAAUGUUUGGCCUCGCGCCUUUGGAGCGGCCGAUGUCGGAUUAGCUAGUUGGUGGGGUAAAGGCCUACCAAGGCGACGAUCCGUAGCUGGUCUGAGAGGACGACCAGCCACACUCGGACUGAGACACGGCCCAGACUCCUACGGGAGGCAGCAGUGGGGAAUUUUGGACAAUGGGCGCAAGCCUGAUCCAGCAAUGCCGCGUGCGGGAAGAAGGCCUUCGGGUUGUAAACCGCUUUUGGCAGGAACGAAACGGUGUCCGCUAAUACCGGGCGCUAAUGACGGUACCUGCAGAAUAAGCACCGGCUAACUACGUG